rnacentral:rRNA from 1 species
AACGCUGGCGGCGUGCCUAAUACAUGCAAGUCGAACGGUCUUUCUAUGGAAGCUUGCUUCCACUGAGAAGAUAGUGGCGAACGGGUGAGUAACACGUGGGUAACCUGCCCAUAAGAGGGGGAUAACAUCCGGAAACGGGUGCUAAUACCGCAUAGUUUUCUUGAUCGCAUGAUUGGGAAAGGAAAGACGGCCUUUGUGCUGUCGCUUAUGGAUGGACCCGCGGCGUAUUAGUUAGUUGGUGAGGUAACGGCUCACCAAGACGAUGAUACGUAGCCGACCUGAGAGGUGAUCGGCACAUUGGGACUGAGACACGGCCCAAACUCCUACGGGAGGCAGCAGUAGGGAAUCUUCCGCAAUGGACGAAAGUCUGACGGAGCAACGCCGCGUGAGUGAAGAAAAGGUUUUCGGAUCGUAAAACUCUGUUGUCAGAGAAGAACAAGUUGGAGAGUAACUGCUCCAGCCUUGACGGUAUCUGACCAGAAAGCCACGGCUAACUACGUGCCAGCCGCUGC